GGAGGAAAAGAAACUAACCAGGAUUCCCCUAGUAACGGCGAGUGAACAGGGAUUAGCCCAGCACCGAAGCCUACGUCCGUUUGGGCGUUAGGCAAUGUGGUGUUUAGGUUGAUGCGUUGGGGAGUUGCUUCGUUCCAAGUCCAAUCAUGAAUAUGGCUUUAGCAUGGCCCAGAGAGGGUGAAAGGCCCGUGUGGACGAAGUGGCACUCUACUGCGUUGACUUUGGAGUCGGGUUGUUUGAGAAUGCAGCCCAAAGUUGGUGGUAAACUCCAUCUAAGGCUAAAUACUGGCACGAGUCCGAUAGCGAACAAGUACCGUGAGGGAAAGUUGAAAAGUACUCUGAAGAGAGAGUUAACAGUGCGUGAAACCGCUUAGAGGCAAACGGGUGUAGUCAAGCUGCAAGCCCAUUGAAAUAGGGGGGCCAGAAUGGCGUGAGUCUGAGCACAUAGAGCUGUGGUUGGGGUGCGUCCGUAUGGGCGUGUUCGGUUCGCAAGAAUCGGAUCUGUGAAGUGGCAUUCGUCACUGCAGGCCUUGGCACCAGUUGCUCUGCUGGCCCUCUCACUUUCUUUGGGCGUAUGUCACGACCGUCGUUGCUGUCGGUCUGCUUCGUCUAAACCGUAUCAUGAGUAGUCUUGUGCUUCUCGUGGUAUGGGGGCAGGUAGCUGGGUCGGCUUUCGGGUCGGCUUGGUGUUAUUGCUGGGCGGAGUGGUACCUGUAACUGUGCAGUGCGGCGGGGCUGGCGGUGCAUUGGUUUCUGGGCGUGCUAAAACAUGCUGGCGUGACGUGGGUCUGGCUGCUUGUUGCUAUCUCUGAUGGCCUGGUAGCGGCUCUGUUGCGGUUUGGUGUGUGGCUGCGUCUGGACAUUCUUUGCGUUGAGCCAAUAGUCUGUGGCGUAGUGGU
rnacentral:rRNA from 1 species